UACUGAACUCAUGACAAUAAUCUUUUCAACGGUACGAAUUUGUUUUACAGUACAUCAGUUCAUGUGUAAACGGUACCUUUAGACGGUAUGGAAAUAUUCUGCAAAAUCAACA